AAAUUGAAGAGUUUGAUCAUGGCUCAGAUUGAACGCUGGCGGCAGGCCUAACACAUGCAAGUCGAACGGUAACAGGAAGCAGCUUGCUGCUUCGCUGACGAGUGGCGGACGGGUGAGUAAUGUCUGGGAAACUGCCUGAUGGAGGGGGAUAACUACUGGAAACGGUGGCUAAUACCGCAUAACGUCGCAAGACCAAAGAGGGGGACCUUCGGGCCUCUUGCCAUCAGAUGUGCCCAGAUGGGAUUAGCUUGUUGGUGAGGUAACGGCUCACCAAGGCGACGAUCCCUAGCUGGUCUGAGAGGAUG
rnacentral:rRNA from 5 species